rnacentral:rRNA from 1 species
UACGGGGGGGGGGCAAGCGUUGUUCGGAAUUACUGGGCGUAAAGGGCGUGUAGGCGGCCAACUAAGUCCGACGUGAAAUCCCCAGGCUUAACCUGGGAACUGCGUCGGAUACUGGAUGGCUUGAAUUCGGGAGAGGGAUGCAGAAUUCCAGGUGUAGCGGUGAAAUGCGUAGAUAUCUGGAGGAAUACCGGUGGCGAAGGCGGCAUCCUGGACCGACAUUGACGCUGAAGCGCGAAAGCUAGGGGAGCAAACGGGG